rnacentral:lncRNA from 1 species
UUCUGUAGUCAAAUUCCAAAGGCGAACUCAAAUCGUAGGCGAUCGGCUUCAAAUCUUCCGUUCGUGAUAAGCAAACACCAAAUCCUAGUUCGUGAUGAUCUUUAAAUUGUUCCUGACACACAAAAAUCUGAAAUCUGUCAAGUUCAAGAUCAAGCUCUCAAGCCCUUGAACCAUCAUUUGUGAGGAGAAGAAUCAAAGGACUACGUCUCUCUAGAUUUGAGAUAUUCGAGAGAUUGUAACCCAUUACUUAAAAUCAAAUAUAAUAUAAGUCAGUAAAUUUCUUGUCUUCAUUAUUGUAUUUCAGGAAUGAAAUUUAGUUGUUAUAAUAUUUUCGCAAUUUUCGAC